rnacentral:hammerhead_ribozyme from 1 species
AUCCAGCUGGCAUACGAGUCCCAAAUAGGACGAAAUGCGUUUUGUCCUGGAU